CUUAACGUAAUGCUGCAAUCUUUCUCAAUUUAUACACCUGGGUGUACAAUCUAAUUUGCGGCCAUCUGCCCAUCUCCUGUAAUUCUGAAAAAAUUAAACCCUUAGUAAUAUUCAACCUCAAAAACUGCGACGCUUUUCCACAACCUUCUUCGACACUUGCAUUCUCCAGUUUCCUCAAAUCAAGCAUCCGACAUUGAAAGUUAAAAGAGAAAACAUGGAGAAGAAGAAAGAUGAAGACAUGGAAGAAGAUCAUGGAGAUGCCAGAUCUGAGAAGAAAAAGAAGAAAGAGAAGCGCACGUUAAUGGCAAGAACAACUCCAAUUACCAAUAUCUCUUCACCGGAAAAGCUGUUGUUAUAAUGGUUUAUAGCAAAGAUCAGAUGUUAUAAUAGCAAAGGAACAGAACAUUAAGGCUGUGAUUGGAGAUCUGUAAUGUCAUUCGCGACUCUUCAUUAUUGUUACUGUAAGAGUGGGCUCUCUGAUUUCGCUUUGCUAGCAGGUAUUCAAGGAUAGAUGUGAUGUUUCAAGAAGAACUUGAAGUUGAUGUAAUUACCUAUUACUACAUCUUCUCAUGGAAUCUUUAAUGGUCA